UACGGAGGGGGCUAGCGUUGUUCGGAAUUACUGGGCGUAAAGCGCACGUAGGCGGCUUUGUAAGUUAGAGGUGAAAGCCCGGAGCUCAACUCCGGAAUUGCCUUUAAGACUGCAUCGCUAGAACGUCGGAGAGGUGAGUGGAAUUCCGAGUGUAGAGGUGAAAUUCGUAGAUAUUCGGAAGAACACCAGUGGCGAAGGCGACUCACUGGACGACUGUUGACGCUGAGGUGCGAAAGCUAGGGGAGCAAACGGG
rnacentral:rRNA from 1 species